rnacentral:rRNA from 1 species
GGGCCAAUAAGAAUGCAAGUUCGACGAACUUAAUUCAUUCUUUUAGAUUGGAAGCGGUUAGUGGCGGACUGGUGAGUAACGCGUGAGCAACCUGCCUAUUAGAGGGGAAUAACAGUGAGAAAUCAUUGCUAAUACCGCAUAUGCUUACACUAUUGCAUGAUAGAGUAAGGAAAGGAGCAAUCCGCUAAUAGAUGGGCUCGCGUCUGAUUAGCUAGUUGGUGGGGUAGAAGCCUACCAAGGCGACGAUCAGUAGCCGGACUGAGAGGUUGAACGGCCACAUUGGGACUGAGAUACGGCCCAGACUCCUACGGGAGGCAGCAGUCGGGAAUAUUGCGCAAUGGAGGGAGCUCUGACGCAGUGACGCCGCGUAUAGGAAGAAGGUUUUCGGAUUGUAAACUAUUGUCGUUAGGGAAGAAAAAAGACAGUACCUAAGGAGGAAGCCCCGGCUAACUAUGUGCCAGCAGCCGCGGUAAUACAUAGGGGGCAAGCGUUAUCCGGAAUUAUUGGGUGUAAAGGGUGCGUAGACGGGUGUUUAAGUUGGUUGUGAAAUCCCUCGGCUCAACUGAGGAACUGCAACCAAAACUGGAUAUCUUGAGUGUCGGAGAGGAAAGUGGAAUUCCUAGUGUAGCGGUGAAAUGCGUAGAUAUUAGGAGGAACACCAGUGGCGAAGGCGACUUUCUGGACGAUAACUGACGUUGAGGCACGAAAGUGUGGGGAGCAAACAGGAUUAGAUACCCUGGUAGUCCACACUGUAAACGAUGGAUACUAGGUGUAGGGUGUAUUAAACAUUCUGUGCCGCCGCAAACGCAUUAAGUAUCCCACCUGGGGGAGUACGACCGCAAGGUUGAAA